rnacentral:rRNA from 1 species
GACGAACGCUGGCGGCGUGCUUAACACAUGCAAGUCGAACGGAAAGGCCCUGCUUUUUUGGGGUGCUCUAGUGGCGAACGGGUGAGUAACACGUGAGUAACCUGCCCUUCACUUUGGUUUAACUUCAUGAAACUUGGUCUAAUACCGGAUAGGAUCUCCUGCUGCUUGGUGGGGCUUGGAAAGUUUCGGCGGUUGGGGAUGUACUCGCGGCUUAGCAGCUUGUUGGUGGGGUAGUGGCAUACCAAGGCCUUGACGGCUAGCCGGCCUGGGAGGGUGACCGGGAACAGUGGGACUGAGAUAGGGACAAGACUCAUACGGGAGGCAGAGGUGGGAAUGAUUGAAAAAGGGGCGGAAGCGUGAGGCAGAAACACCGAGUGCGGGAUGACGGUGUUCGGGUUAUAAAUGGCAAGCGCCUGUGACGAAGAGGGAGAGAAGAGAAUGGGUAAAGAAGGACCGGCUAAAUACGGG